UUUACCAUUAAAAUAAAAUUCUUGCAUGCCCUUUGUAUGAAAUCCACACUGUUGAGACCGUAAGCUCUUGAAUGAUGAUUUGUUGUACAGCGUCACAUUCACAAACGCAUGGCACAGCGAAAUUUCCUUCAAUUUCUGAUGAUGGUCGUAGAUAAUUGGAUUGGAUAUUCUCUUUUGUACCUUUUGGAUCUUUCCUUUUGACCCCACUCAAUCACCUUUGUUUUCUUCACAGCACUCCUAUGCUUAAGGUUGGGCUUAAAGCCUAAAACUAGAAGCUUGGACUUGAUGAUGAGUACAUACCCGGAACUUUUCUGUUCUGUCAGUCCAUUUCAAUUUGCUUUAGUGAUUUUCACUUUGUCUGAAUCGACCAACCCAACAAGCAUGAAAUUCAUUUUUGAAGUACAUAUGCUGCAUUUAUACCGCUAUAAGUGAGGGCGGGGGGACAUGUGAUCAUGGUAUAGUUCAUUUGUAAUCUAAAUUGGAUCUAACAAAUAUAUCUAUGAAGCUACCAAAUACCCAUCAGAGUAUGACAAAUCAUCAUGAAAGUCUUGGUGGUUCAGUAUUUUUGAAACGAUCACGACAUUAUUAUGAUAAUCAAUAUUCUCGACAUACUUCUACCAAUCAUACAAAUGCAUCAUCUUCUCGUGACAAGGAGUAUAGAGAGAAAGUGUUUCUCAGGCCAGAGAGAAUUCAGUCAAAUUCCUUAGGGAUGGAUGCAAUAUCACCAAAUAUAGCAAAGAUGGUUUGUGGGAUUUGUGAAAAACUACUAAGUCAAAAAAAUAAUUUUUUGGGGAGUUCAAUGUCUUGUGAACUUUCAGCUGUGGCAGUUUUAGUGUGUGGCCAUGUUUAUCAUGCAAAUUGUUUAGAGCAAAGAACUCCAUUUGAAGAACUACACGAUCCAACAUGUCCAGUGUGUGCAAGCUUAUUCUUGCAGGAUCACGUUAAUAAAUGAUGACAAUAGUUCCAAGAAGACCAUAUGAAUGUUACAACUUGAUGUUGAUGGUAGUUUUGAGGAAGGUAACAAAAUAAAAUAUAUGACAUUUCAUUACAAGUGAAUUACGAUAGCUUGGAUAAAGAUCUUGUAAAUUGACACAAUCUUGGCCUUAGUCAUAGAUAUUGUCAAUUAAGAGUAAUACUUGAAAUUUUAUUUUAAAACUCUUUUGUUUC